UUCCGCGCGGACGGUGGGCAGGCGACGGCGGCGUGUGGAUGGAGGCCUUCGCCCUUGGCCCAGCGCGGCGGGGCAGGCGGCGGACCCGGGCCGCCGGCUCCCUGCUCUCUCGGGCCGCCAUCCUCCUCUUUAUCUCCGCCUUCCUGGUGCGGGUGCCCUCAUCAGGUGAGGGUCCGCGCCGCCCUGCCGGCUCCGCAGGGACAACCGCAGCUUCCCCCACUCUUCGAAUUGCCUUUUCUUGUGUCACGUGCAUCCGUUUUAUAUAGAGACACCUUGCUCACUAAUACGUGACAAGAAAGGCUUAUUUUUUAUGGAAGUCGUACAAAGUCACUCUGCAUUUGCAUAGAGGAGUGAAUGACAGGAAAUUAAGUUGGACACUUGGUUCGAUUACCAAGAGCUUUUCGCUUGACCAAAGAUUCAGUGAAAAUAGUGGGAUCAACAAGUUUUCCAGUGAAAGCGUAUGUCAUGCUCCAUCAAAAGAGUCCACACGU
rnacentral:lncRNA from 1 species